rnacentral:rRNA from 1 species
UACGUAGGGGGCAAGCGUUGUCCGGAAUCAUUGGGCGUAAAGAGCGCGUAGGCGGCCAGACAAGUCCGGUGUGAAAGUCACAGGCUCAACCUGUGAAUGCCGCUGGAAACUGUCUGGCUAGAGUCCGGAAGGGGCGAGUGGAAUUCCUGGUGUAGCGGUGAAAUGCGCAGAUAUCAGGAGGAACACCAAUGGCGAAGGCAGCUCGCUGGAACGGUACUGACGCUGAGGCGCGAAAGCUAGGGGAGCAAACGGG